rnacentral:rRNA from 1 species
GUGGGGAAUCUUGCGCAAUGGGCGAAAGCCUGACGCAGCCAUGCCGCGUGAAUGAUGAAGGUCUUAGGAUUGUAAAAUUCUUUCACCGGGGACGAUAAUGACGGUACCCGGAGAAGAAGCCCCGGCUAACUUCGUGCCAGCAGCCGCGGUAAUACGAAGGGGGCUAGCGUUGCUCGGAAUUACUGGGCGUAAAGGGCGCGUAGGCGGACAGUUUAGUCAGAGGUGAAAGCCCAGGGCGCAACCUUGGAAUUGCCUUUGAUACUGGCUGUCUUGAGUACGGGAGAGGUGAGUGGAACUCCGAGUGUAGAGGUGAAAUUCGUAGAUAUUCGGAAGAACACCAGUGGCGAAGGCGACUCACUGGCCCGUUACUGACGCUGAGGCGCGAAAGCGUGGGGAGCAAACAGGAUUAGAUACCCGGGUAGUCC